rnacentral:rRNA from 1 species
UACGUAGGAGACGAGCGUUGUCCGGAAUUACUGGGCGUAAAGCGCGUGUAGGCGGAUGGGCAAGUCUGCUGUGAAAGCUCCUGGCUUAACCGGGAGUGGUCGGUGGAAACUGCCAAUCUGGAGGACGGUAGAGGUAGGUAGAAUUCCGCGUGUAGCAGUGAAAUGCGUAGAGAUGCGGAGGAACACCGAUGGCGAAGGCAGCCCCCUGGGCUAGCACUGACGCUCAGGCACGAAAGCGUGGGGAGCAAACAGG